AGCGAACGCUGGCGGCGUGUUUAAGACAUGCAAGUCGAACGGUUGUAGCAAUACAGCAGUGGCGCACGGGUGAGUAACGCGUGGGAAUAUACCGAGAAGUGGGGAAUAACUCCGGGAAACUGGAGAUAAUACCGCAUACGCCCGAGAGGGGAAAGAUUUAUCGCUUUUCGAUUAGCCCGCGUGAGAUUAGGUAGUUGGUGGGGUAAUGGCCUACCAAGCCGACGAUCUCUAGCUGGUCGGAGAGGAUGAUCAGCCAAACUGGAACUGAGACACGGUCCAGACUCCUACGGGAGGCAGCAGUGGGGAAUAUUGGACAAUGGGCGAAAGCCUGAUCCAGCCAUGCCGCGUGAAUGAUGAAGGCCUUAGGGUUGUAAAGUUCUUUCGCCGAUGAAGAUAAUGACGGUAGUCGGAGAAGAAGCCCCGGCUAACUUCGUGCCAGCCGCCGCAGUAA
rnacentral:rRNA from 1 species